UGGCGGGGCUGUGUGCAGGGAUCAUGCGCAGUACCACUCUUACCGUCGAGGCCUCCCAGAAGCCGCAGUUGGGUUUUUUGACCUUUUCUUAUUUGGUUCAUAAAUUGUCCCUACCACUCAUGUACACAGUCAUUUUUAGUGCCUUAUAGUUCUUGGUAUUUUGCUGCUUGAGGAGAAGUUUGUCCUUCCUGGUGCAAACAAGCCCGGCAGUGAAGGGUCCCAGGUACCGGAGCCCAGCCUGUCUCACUUUCACAUCGACAGUAAAGUCGAAAAACCGAAACUAUUUGGGGGUGUGAUCUGGAAAAAUAAAGGAAUAAAGAAAGAAGAAGGAAGAGAAAGAACUCUGAAAACAAACCCAGGAGGGUAAUAAAAGAACCUCAGGAGAGAAACUGCCUCAACCCUAGUACCCGAAGACUUGAUUGGAAUCAAAGGACAGACGAUUUCAGGAAGUGGAUUUCCAAGGAAAGGGGUAUUUAUGAGUGAAAUAGAAGCUUUCUGGUUGUUGCUCUAUGCACAUGACAUUUUUGAGAGGGUCAUCUCCAAAUUCAAAAUUGGAGGCUGUAGAUCCCUGAAAAAAUUGGCUUGGAGGAGAUGCUGCAAAAGCACUUUCUGUAUGAUGUUCCCCCAGACACAGGAAAGAACUUGCAUCUCCAUUUAUCAGAAUCUCUUCCCAAAUUUUUGGUUUAAAGUUUGCCAAUGAGACAGACUCUCCUGAGAUUUGGAAGGAGGUAGAGAAGUUAUUCUCCAGUAAGAAUUACCAAGAGCCUGGUGAGUGAACAGAAAGUCAAGUUCACAGAAAUUUCCAGGUCAUCUACCUUGGUGCUGCAGGCAGCUGGCCUCGGUGAUAGGAGCUUCACUGCCUUGUUGCCUUAGCUCUUCCAACAGGAAGAUGGCAGCAUAAUGAGACAUCAUCAUUACCCCAGACCCAUUGCCCACAUUUGGAGAAAUCACAUAGAGGAUCAAUGAUCAUCAUUUAGGGAAAAGGGUAGAAGUAGACAAGGUCUGAGAGGAUGUGAUGAUCAGAGUGUGCAGAUGGGUGGAAAUUCUCCAGGAGAAAACACCCCAUUAGCAGCUCAGUGAUUAAAGCCAUUUCUCUUUAAGAGCAGGUGUGCAGUGUUCUUUAUGGCAUAUGGCGUAUGUUUGAAACACACAUGCAGGGAAAAGCCGUUGAGGAUAGCUCUCCUUUUAUAAGUCCAUAGGACAAUGAAAUGAUUGUGAAAACAGAUCUGGGUUUUUUCUGUUUGUUCCAAGAAGGCCUUCAUUUCCAUUCCCCCCUUGCAGAGCUCUUAUGCAUAAUUCUUGGCUCUCUUACUAAGAUGAAAAUAAGCUCUGCCAUCAAAGCCCUUUUCUCACCUGGGCACAGAAAAACAUUAGGAGCGUGACCUGGCUGAACUGGUUGAUCAAAUUAUAGUGAAGGGGAUCACAGGAAAAGUCUUGCUCUUAAGCAAAAACUCUCUUCUACCUUUUAGUUCCAAACUCUUUGAAAAUGCUCACUCAAAGUGUUAGGCUCCUAGCACCUCCAAAAGGUGCUGUCCUGGGGUGAACCAAGAAAUGUCCCUGCUGUCUGUCAUGGUACCCUCCAAAGCAGUCAUGUGCCAUCUAUGGUGACAACUGGUGACCCGGUUAUUGCUUCUCUUCAGAGCACUAAACGCAGCACCAUGAGCGUGGUCCGUGUCUGGUUGGCUUCUAUUCCAAUUUAAUGCUACUGUUGGUGUGGAUUUUAAACAGCCUUGUUUUUAAUUUCUGAAGCGAUCAGUUGGAGAAGGAAAAUAGUUACUGAUGUGCAAAUCAUGUACGGCUUUUUAUGAUUCAUUUUUAUUAUUCACGUCGUGGCGCGUUUCUUGGCAGAGAGCGGAGAAUUUUGGAAAAGUACAUUCUCAGUGCCCUGGGUGUCAUUUAAAACAAAGUGAUUUUCCUAUAAUUUGAUUUUGUCAGAGCUCCUCUCACUUCUGUCAGUUUGGAACCUGUUGGCCUACGUGGAUUUGCAUAGGUAAUAGUAAGUCUAAAGUGAAAAACAAAAUCUUUUUCAAGUAAGUCUCAAAAGAUAAGGCCUAAUUUAGAGAAGAUAGUGUGUUGAGGGCAAACUCUCAAGUGUAAUAUCAUUCCUUUUAUUGAUGCUAAAUCUGGAGGCCUCUAUGGCUGUAUUUCAGAUGUAGAAUAGCCAAGAGAAGGUCCCAGAUAUGAGAAUGGUCCAUUAGGAGUAGCUUUGCCUCCCUUGCCUCCAGGUC